rnacentral:rRNA from 1 species
UACGGGGGGGGCAAGCGUUGUUCGGAAUACUGGGCGUAAAGCGUGCGCAGGCGGUGAUGUAAGACAGUUGUGAAAUCCCCGGGCUCAACCUGGGAACUGCAUCUGUGACUGCAUCGCUGGAGUGCGGCAGAGGGGGAUGGAAUUCCGCGUGUAGCAGUGAAAUGCGUAGAUAUGCGGAGGAACACCGAUGGCGAAGGCAAUCCCCUGGGCCUGCACUGACGCUCAUGCACGAAAGCGUGGGGAGCAAACAGG